rnacentral:lncRNA from 1 species
GAAGCUCAAAGCCGCACUGGAAACACAGUCUUUCAGGAUGUCUGAAAGGGGCAAGUCUGUUUGUGUGGGGUAAGAAAUGCGGGGAGACAAACGGACAGUGGACAGAUUGCAGAGAGCUCUGUGUGCUGAGAGGAGGGUGCAGACCAGAUUUUUAAAUUGAGAAUGCAACAGUGAAGGAUUUCAAGCUUGGAGUGAGAGGGGAGACUACGAGCCUGCAGUGAUAAGGCAAAGCUGAAGAUUUCAGAGCCAAGGCCACACCCUACAGUUGCCAUGGAAUGGGGUGGCACAGUGGGCUUUGGAGGCUGGGGAGCUGUGCUUUGGAAAAGCAAUGAGGAGGUAACAGGAAGUCUCUUCUCCUUCUAAAUCCUGUGUUCAUGGAGGAGGGUGGGUUUUCUCCUCUUGAGAGGGAGUUACAUACAAGUUUAAGGGAAAAGAGUCUGAAGUUUCCACCUAAAUGAUUCUGAAAGAAUCAGGAAUCAAAGCUGGAGGAGCGGAAGAUAUACAGGGAGUCCACGGAGCCUCCCCUGCAAGCAUCAGUACAGAAGUCGAUGAUAAUCUGGAUGCAAGCCCAGGAGUGUGGAGUCCACUGACUCAGAAGACCUGCAUCUAAGGAAUUGGCUGUUCUUAUCCUUAAGAAUGAUGACUGUGUUUCCAAUUCCAGUAGACCCUUUGAUGCGUUCUGAAUAAAUAUUCCUUUUGGAAUUGAACUUCUAGAGCCCUUA